CACAGCAACAGUUUGGCGCGAAGGCUGGGGGCUGACGUCAGGGAGUGGCCGUGAGGGACCCCAAAGCCAGGUCUGGAAAAGGGGGGUGGGUUGGGUGGUGGGGGUGCAGCCCCCAAAGAAAUGGGGGUCGAAAUGGAGGAAACCCCACUGAGAUGCUCAAAUGUAAAACCGCUGAAGAAUAAAGGGACAAAUGUACACAUCUGUCUAAAUGAAAAAAAUGAAAAUCCUGGCCGCAAAAACACAUACAUUAACGUCUAAAGACCUGCAGGGAAGACAAGACUUUUCCGCCUGGGACACAUGAAAGACAUCGAGCUAAUUUCCUUAAUAAAUGAAGAGCUCUUGGAAACCAACGAGAUAAAGACCAAACCAAGACAGAAAAAUGGGCAAAAGGGAUAAAACUGGCAAUUCGCAAGAAAAUCCAAACGGCUGGCCGACCUGCGAAGGAAACAUCACGACCUGUUUGCAUAAAGAAAUGCAAACCUGAAACACCGGGCACGUGCGGUUUAGGGGAGCGGGCAGUCUCACACACUACUGAGUUGUUUCCCAGCAGCCGUCAAUACAGACCUUCCACUGCGCUCCUUUUAUGUCAGGAGAGUCCAAAUCCAGUACCUGUUUGCCACAAUGAGCCUGGGACCUCAACAUGCAUGGAGUGCUUCCGGACCUCAUUACCCAAGAGCAGUCAGAUUUUUAAUUUCCUCUGCCUUUUUCAAGAUCAUUAGUUCAGAAGGUUUAUGUUUUCAAUUCCACAUAUCCUUGCAUUUUUCUUUCAAGUUUUGACCCAUAUGGAUAUCUUAAAUAUUCCUAUUAUUGCAAGUUUAUAUUAAAAGGAGGUUAAAUUGUGAACUCACAAACUCAUAGCAUCAUAGCACCAUCUCAAUCAAAAGUAUUAUCUUCUGUGAACUACAACAGUUUUCACUUCUUUCGCAAGUGUGGAGUGACGUUUGCCUGAGGCUGUAUGACCUGUGAUAUCAUGACAAAUUGAAGGCCAAAGCAGAUGCGAAUCCAGCUGUUUUCUAUUAAGUCAAAUGCCAAGGAGAUUUACAAAGAUGUAAAAUAAUGCGCCUCUUCUCAAUAACCUUUGGUUUUGAAAAUUGUUAUUUUUCAUAAAAAAUGUUGCUUCCAUUAACCUGUAAUAGGUUUACUACCAUUAUUUUAAAUAAAAUACACAUUUCAAAUG
ensembl:lncRNA MIMT1 MER1 repeat containing imprinted transcript 1